GUGCGUUCGUGCGCGGUGCGGCGGCGUUCAGCCGGUUGCUGACGGCCGCCCUUGGGAAGCGCUGCUGUGCGCUGGGGGAGGAAUUGCUUUGCCACGCUUCCUCCGAGCCGCCUCGAGUUGUCAGUACGUCUCUUCUGGGUGUCACGCAGACUGAGCUGUGACGGUCCCGCGGGGACUUUGCAAAGCGGCGUGCCGUGGCCGAUGCACGGGCUGGAGCCUCGCUCCGUGCCCUGCGCUGUGCCUGGAGCCCGGCCCCAGCCGCGGCUGUGCCACAGGGCCCACCGAGAGCAUCCCCUGCCUGCAGAAAUGGGGGCACAGAAACGGGCACGGGAGAUCCGGCACCCCUCGGGCAGGGGCUUUGCAGCGGUGGUGGUGAGGAUGCGAGCCCUCGUGCAGAAAGACAACUCGCCCCACCUGCUCCAAACACUCAGCCACUUGUCUCUGUGAGUGCUCUGAUUACAUUUGCUUAGCAAACUCUUAAUCAUGUUUUACAUUACUCUCCUAUUUUCCCUCAUUUUCAUUGUUGCACUGAAUUUUAAAUUAGAUUACAGGCUCUGCGGGCUAGAGAUCACCCUUUGUUAGUACAAACCGCUCUAAUUGGGACCGAUGAGCCGUGCUCAGCACAGCUGGAUCCCUCCCUGACUGACUGCGCGAUUCUUCCUAGUGUUUGGUCGACCUUUGUGACUGGGACUUCCCAACUGCAUUUCUCACUGAAUUACCGCAUCUCCGCUUACAAAUGCACCGUGUUUCGCUGCUCUGCAAGCAGAGCGUAAAUAGCCCUUCUGAUUUGCAGAGCGGUGUUCCUUCCCUUCGGUGCUCGUCUCGCUGCGGUCACGUUGCACAGGGAGCCUGUAGUAGGAGUGCCCCACGUGCCUGCGGCCCUGCAGGCUGAGGAGCCUGGUGGUGCCUCUUCCUUUUGGGAACAGCCGAGGUCGUGCCCGUUGGACACCAUCAGGUGCACUGGGUGUGUUAUGUGGAACACCAGACAUUGCCAGUAACAGCACCUGUGCUGUGGGCUGGGGCUGUGACAGGAGUGUCCCCGGGUCCUGGAGUCCGGGCCUGUCCCCAAAGGGUGCAAAGAAGGCCGCGGGCACUGCGGAGCCUCCCAGCCUUGAAGCAGCACAGCCCAAAGAACUGCUCCAGCCUCAUCCCUUUCCACCCUCUGUCCUUCUACAGCUCUUUCUCUUACAGUGAGGGCUCUGAGCCCCCUGGGCUCGCGGUACCCACGGCACCCUCCCUGCCCAGCUCCGUGAAUGUCAGGUUGAGGUGGGACUGGGCCUGACGGGCUCGUUGUCCCAUUGGUGUCUCACCACAGCAAGUGCCUGUGGGUCAUUAACAAAGAUGCUGCAAACCUGUUCUGGGAUUUGUGCCUGGUUUUGCCUCAAUAAGCGUACUGUCUUCCCUGCCCCUUCUCCUGUGCUGGCUUCCAGUUGCUUGACUCCCACUUAGAGUUUCAUUCCAGAUUAUUUUCACCCCAGCCCCACUGAAGUUUGCCCUGUUGACUGUCCUUGCACUGGAUCUGUGAGCUGCCAGGUUUUCGGGCUUGUCAUGUGGUGUUAUACUCUUAUCUUCAGCUUGUAUUCCUUCUAAAAUUUUCAUAAUUAAGAAAUUCAGGUAAUUUAUAAAAAUAUUUAACAAUUCUGUGCACAUGCACAUACAAAUCCUGAAUCUGCAGGAUUCUUAUCCGCUGACAUUGAAUUCCAUUGGCACCAUCACACUGCCGAUGGUGCAGCUCUCGGCUCGUCUAACCACCACAUGGCAGGGAGCUUUAUGUUCAAGGUUUCCUAAGCAAGGAACGGGUUGCUCUCAGGAGAACCAGCCAGGUCUCCUGCCACACACUGUGUUCUCUGUGGUCUGAUCAAAGUGGAUCAGGCUUGAUCAAACGUAUUGGCUGCUUACGUAAAACAAUCAUCCUUAGGUGAGAUUGGGUUGGCCAAAGGGUUAUUCCCACGGUGUACAGAACUCACAUUUCUGGCUGAAAAAUGCAGUGGCAUCCAUAGUGACCCAGGCCGGGUGGGGGCUGGGGAAUGAGGUGCGAUGCAGUGUCCCAACAAAUCAGUGCUGAGCGAGCACACAGCUGCAUCUGGAGCUUCUGAGCAGUCUUCAGGCACCAAAAGGGAGAGGAAUGUACGUAUGGCAGCAGUCCCGGCUGCGAGGGAAAAGGCUGGGGUGAGGUCUGGUUCUCAGAGAAGCCCCUCUGGGGGCUGAAGGGGCAGAGAGAGGGAGAAAUGUCUCUGGCUGCUUAAUUAAAGAAAAAAUAACCACAGCUUUAAAAAAUAAAAGUUAAAACUAAAAUAGAAAGGGACUCUAAGCAGGGGAUUAAAGAGCCUUUCUCCCCUUCAUGUGUCCCCUCCCCGCCACAUAAAAAGGACUCCUUGUGGUCAAGUUGUUUUAUAUUUUCGAAUUUCGAAUAAAGUUGACUUUUAAAUCUUCCCUCGACAUCUGGUUUGCAACGGCAGGAGCAGCAAGCAGAAGGCAGACGGCAGCCGCCUGUCCCCGAUACCCACAGCAGCUCACACAGACAGGCCCCGCUGCUCUGGUGCUUCUGCCGGGCUGGCACACGGCGCUGGUGGCAGCCGCUGGAGGAAAGCUCUGCGUUAGGACGGUCUGCGUUGUCUAAUUUAACUGACCUUGGCGGUACGUUAAUUGGGUUUUGUUCUACCUGAGGACAAUCUGCCUCAAGGGGGAAAUUACGCUAACAGCUGCUGUGUUUUCCUUAUUGCUCAAAUAUUAGCCGAAAGGUUUCCAGAAGAGAAGGUAUGAAACACUUUGUUCUGUGGACUGGAGGGAUUUUAAGGCAUUUUAGAACACUAUGAAAGCAUUCACCCUCUCUUCUAUCUUGUAAAUGGACUCAGGCCAUUGUUGCCCUGGUCGUAGAGCUGUCGAUGUGGCCACGUUGCUGUAUCAAGCAGAUGAAGACACGGCCACGGUGCUGUGGCUCCCAGCCCUGCCCCUGUGCCAGAGGGCUCGGGGACCCUCAGUGUACCCGCAGAGCGGCCUCUCCCCACCUCCAACCCACCAGGGCUGCUUCAGGGCCGCUGGGUCCUCUCCAGGGAGCUGCUGACAUGCCCAAACUCCCACCAGUCCUCCAAAGGCCUCCACGGGACCAUCAGGGCUGAUGUGAUUUCAUUAUGGGUUUCAGCUGGUGUCCCACAGGCUGAAGCCAUUUGCCAUUACAAUUUUGCUUGUAAUGGAGUUAUUUAUUGAUCUCACAAAGUCAUAAAUAGGAAGCUCGGGUGUUCUUCGGCAUGAGAUACCCAGCAGUCUGUUUCCUACAAACAUCAUUAUAUGUCGUAAUUCACUGAAAAAGAUACUCAUUUUUAUGGAAAGGUCACAGUUAUUAAUUAUAUGAAUAGCAACAGCAGCUCUCAGUGAGAUCGCUUCCCAGCUGCGUGCUGCAUGGACGUAUGCACAGACAGGUGGGCAGCUCUGCCUGUGAGGAGCACAGCCUGAGAGAUAACAGAAAAGCAGGGUGAGAGAGACGGAGCUCACCGCGCUGCGUAACUCCACACCUGCCUCCAAUAGAGUUCAGGCAGGAGGUAGAAACCCACAGUUUCUCUAUUCAUUUCCCUAGAGGGAAGAGGAUUCCGGAGCACAGAGGGCAGGGCCAGGAGAACUACAGCCACAAAAUAUUUUGUUGCAGUGCAGGGAAGUCUUCAGCAUCCCUCCCAGCAAGCUGGUACCACUGUCCAGGAAAGAUGUCAUGGUCCAUAACCAUAGGAUGCUUGGGUUCCAAGACCCAACUCCUCCUCCAAAGACCGUGUGUGUGCUUCCAAAAACUAUAGAAUCUGCUCCAGAAGAGUGCAGGCAAGGAAUGAAGGACCCUGGAGAAGAAACACUUUCGGGCCCUGGAAGCUGGCGAGCUCCUAUCUUCAGACUGGUGAGGCUGCAGCUGGGUUACAGUGGGUCGCUGGGGGGAGGCUGUGCUCAUAGCAGUGGUGAAUAGGGUGGGAACCCCCUGGGAAUGAGGACAAAAGGAGUUUCCAGCUGAAGAACUCAGAGAAGGAAGAACGUGAUGGCGUUUUAGGGUGCAGUGGGCCAGGGCUGCUGGCAUGGAGACUGGGGCUUCCUCCAGCAGCGGGGAGCAGCACAAAUCAGAACUCACUGCCUUUCUCGAACCGUGCCCUUCUUUGAAGAUAUUUGUGCAGUUAGGAAUUUGCCGUGUUUACUCCCAGGUCAGACAAAACACGGGGGAUUCAAAACCAGCAUCGAGUGUGAGGACGGCAAACACCGGUGAAGACCAGCAGUCACCAUACGGGAUUCUCCAAAUGUGUCUGUUUUGCUGCUUCUGUGACAUUUGAUUAAAGUCUCGCUAUCCUGCCUAUUAAUUAAGGUGUUUGAAGGCGAGGCCGAAAUUUCAGCUCCCCUCCCAAGUUCACCGGCUCCAUACUCCUCCUCCUCCAAAUAUGUUUUUGCUAUAAAUUACUGGCACUGUUUCUGUUGAUAGUCAACAUAAUCAAACAUUUGUAAGCAUGCUGUCUCUUCAAUCUGUUCAGUUGAUGCACUUUACCUGAUCUUUCAUUAAAGUAAUCAAAACACUUGCUGUGCCGCAUCUAAUGAAUGUUGCAUGUAUGAUUAAGUACUUUCAUUCAUAUUGCAAGUUUGAUUUAAUGUAAUCUGCCUUUCAGACAGCCAUUAGCCUAGCUCCUGUGUGAAUUCGAUUAAUUGGCUGAAUUCUUCCAGAUGUCCAUUAAGUAUUACAGGAAUUUCUAUGUAAAAACAGCAGGGACUGUCUAGCAGAGAACCAAACAAUGAUAUGUUAUAUUGCUGCCAUGACUUACAAAAAGCUAGAUUCAUUUUCAUUAAUAAAACAUCUGUACUCCUGC
ensembl:lncRNA